GACGAACGCUGGCGGCGUGCCUAACACAUGCAAGUCGAACGAGGUCCAUCCUUCGGGAGAAGACCUAGUGGCGAACGGGUGAGUAACACGUGAGAAACCUGCCCCGAAGACCGGGAUAACCCUCCGAAAGGAGAGCUAAUACCGGAUGCCCCCACCGAGCCGCAUGGCUUGGUGAGGAAAUGGAUUCCGCUUCGGGAGGGUCUCGCGGCCUAUCAGCUAGUUGGUGGGGUAACGGCCCACCAAGGCAUCGACGGGUAGCUGGUCUGAGAGGACGAUCAGCCACACUGGGACUGAGACACGGCCCAGACUCCUACGGGAGGCAGCAGUGGGGAAUCUUGCGCAAUGGGCGAAAGCCUGACGCAGCAACGCCGCGUGGGGGAUGAAGGCUCUCGGGUUGUAAACCCCUUUCAGCAGGGACGAAAUCAGACGGUACCUGCAGAAGAAGCUCCGGCUAACUACGUGCCAGCCGCCGCGGUAACAC
rnacentral:rRNA from 1 species